UCGCAACUGUUNAGUCGGAUGAGCAAGGUCAUCUAGAAGACUAACAAAGACCAUAACGCGUUGGGCACAGGCGUCAAACAAUUGUUAUACGGAUAUCAGCCGAUGUCAUGUCAAAACUCCAGAUACCUACAUACGGACCUUCAUGUAAUUAUGAAAACAGCACAUUGUUUUAAACUUUAAGAUGUCGUUUAACGUCGAAUUUUCUCAUGCGUCAGGGUAAUUAAAACUUCUGCCGUGUUUUCAAUAAUUAGUUUAGAGGUAUUUAAUAGCGUUCAUUUGUAAAAUAGGAAAAAUGACAGAUUAAAGUUUUAUCAACAAACAA